CAUCGUCAAUUUGUUGUGGACAAAUCCAAUGAAUGUGUGUAUCAAUACCACCGGCGGUCAAAAUGAGUUUUUCUCCGGCAAUGACUUCGGUGGUGUUGCCCACAAUCAUGUUGGAGUCGACAUUGGCCAUGAUAUCGGGAUUGCCGGCCUUGCCAAUUCCGACAAUGGUAUUGCCUUUAAUGCCGAUAUCGGCCUUGACAAUCCCCGCGACAGCAUCGACAAUGAGGGCAUUGGUAAUGACGACAUCGAGAGCGUCGGCAGACGACACGGAUGUCGCUUGUCCCAUGCCUUCCCGCAAUG